rnacentral:rRNA from 1 species
GAUGAACGCUGGCGGCGUGCUUAACACAUGCAAGUCGAACGGAAAGGCCCAAGCUUGCUUGGGUACUCGAGUGGCGAACGGGUGAGUAACACGUGGGUGAUCUGCCCUGCACUUCGGGAUAAGCCUGGGAAACUGGGUCUAAUACCGGAUAGGACGAUGGUUUGGAUGCCAUUGUGGAAAGUUUUUUCGGUGUGGGAUGAGCUCGCGGCCUAUCAGCGUGUUGGUGGGGUAUUGGCCUACCAAGGCGUCGACGGGUAGCCGGCCUGAGAGGGGGUAGGGCCACAUUGGGACUGAGAGACGGCCCAGACUCCUACGGGAGGCAGCAGUGGGGAAUAUUGCACAAUGGGCGCAAGCCUGAGGCAGCGACGCCGCGUGGGGGAUGACGGCCUUCGGGUUGUAAACUCCUUUCGCUAGGGAAGAAGCGUUUUUGUGACGGUACCUGGAGAAGAAGCACCGGCUAACUACGUG